rnacentral:lncRNA from 1 species
CGCUCCUCCCCGGAGCGUAUGGCAGCGCAGCGCCGGACGGGGCGUUCUCCCUCCCCCCCUCCUCUCGCUUCCAUCUCCGCCGUCUCCUCGGUCUCCCUUCCCAUCCCGGCCCCUCCUCCGCCAGCCGCGUCCUCCCGGGCUUGGUGAGGAACUGUUCCUGGAGGAGCCGCGGGACGCCAAAACCAGCCAAUGGGAAGCGGCGAUUCGCGGAGAUUGGCACUGAUGAUGGGAAGCAAUGAUAAGGAAACUAAACUGGAUUAAGUGCUAUCAUCUUGGAGGUGCAAAGGCAAACAAGGAGAAAGAAGUGAUUGAAGAGCACUUCAGAAAGCUUGGUACAUUCAAAUCAGCAGGGCUUGAUUACUCGCAUCCCAGGACACUUAAGGAAUUGGCAAAUAUAAUUGCAAGACCACCAGCCUUUAUUUUAGAAAAUGAAGGUUGGACAGAAGAAGGUCCUGACAAGUAAAAUCAGCAGAUGGAGUACCUGUUUUUUAAAAGAGGGAAAAGGACAGCUGUAGUAAUUAUAGACUAUUCAGUUUAUCUUGGAUACCUGGGAAGAUACAAGAGCAAAUCAUCAAACAAUCAAUUUGCAACCACCUAGAAGAGUACAAGCUACUGGGUCGUAAUCAACGUGAUUUUGUGAAGUGCAAAUUAUGCCACACCAAUUUAAUUUUAUCUAUGAUAGAGUGAUGAGCCUGGCAGAAGAGGGGAAAGCAAUAUCUACAACUGGACUUCAAUAAGGAAUAUUGAUCUCAGCGUUACUUUGACCAUUAAUGAAUUAUGAUGGCAAUAAGCAAAGAUUCGCACCUCUAGCCUCCGGGGAGCUUAAUCUUCUGCUACAACAUUUGCAUUUGUAAGUCAGCACCUGUGUAAUCUAUAUUCUAUUUGUUAUUCUCCUUUAAUUACAUAUUGGUAGUGGUCCAUUUGCAGGCUGGGAGCAACCAACUGGAGCAUCAAAAAGAUUAUUAAAAUAUUGACUUCAAAUUAAAAGGCCAAAAAGGGAACAAGACAGGGUUUGUUUCUACCCAGUCCGUUAUGAUGGUUCAGGAACAAUUAUUUCCUUUCAUCUCAUGAAAAGUUUCAAGAAUUGUGCAAGGAACUCCCAUAUGCCCUUUACAUUCAUUCAUUAUUUAUAUCUUGCCCCACUUGCUGUCUUGCUUUGUGUUAUCUAUGUAAGCCAUAGUUCAAAUGUAAAUUCAGAUUUUCUCAAUUGUUCCAAUGAUGUCCCAAUAAUUGAUUAUAAACUAAUUUUUUCCCCAGGUUAGGAUCCAGUCUAGGAUCAUGCCUUGUACUGAGUUCCUAUGUCUCCUUUGUUUCCUCUAAUAUGGAGAAAUUUCUCUGCCUUUCUUAGUUUUCUUAAUUUGACUUUUUUUUUUUUUUUUUUUUGAGAUGGAGUCUUGCUCUGUUGCCCAGGCUGGAGUGCAGUGGUGCAGUCGUGGCUCACUGCAGCCUCCGUCUCCAGAGUUCAAGCAAUUCUCCUGCAUCAGCUUCACGAAUAGCUGGGAUUACAGGCAUGCACCACCAUGCCUGGCUAAUUUUUUGUAUUUUUAGUCGAGAUGGGGUUUCACCAUGAUGGUCAGGCUGGCGAACUCCUGACCUCAGGUGAUCCAUCUGCCUCGCCCUCCCAAAGUGCUGGGAUUACAGGCGUGAGCCGAGAUCGCGCCAUUGCACUCC